CAAGUAGGCGGUUGCAGCGGCACAAGUAGAAGAGAGUUACGCAGUACAUGGAAUCAUUUUCAAGAAGACACAACCCUGAGACUGCGCACCUAAAACCUUGUGUAGAAAAUAGAGGAAACGGUGCAACAAUUCCGGAAAAUCUGUCUACGAGGAAGAAGACUACACAAAGACCGAAGCAGAAGCAAAGGAAACAAUGAGGAGGACACAGCUACAACUCGGAAGUUCGCAUCUCCCUCACUGAG